UACGAAGGGGGCUAGCGUUGCUCGGAAUCACUGGGCGUAAAGGGUGCGUAGGCGGGUCUUUAAGUCAGAGGUGAAAUCCUGGAGCUCAACUCCAGAACUGCCUUUGAUACUGAGGAUCUUGAGUAUGGGAGAGGUGAGUGGAACUGCGAGUGUAGAGGUGAAAUUCGUAGAUAUUCGCAAGAACACCAGCGGCGAAGGCGGCUCACUGGCCCAUUACUGACGCUGAGGCACGAAAGCGUGGGGAGCAAACAGGG
rnacentral:rRNA from 1 species